rnacentral:rRNA from 1 species
UGAGGAAUAUUGGGCAAUGCCCGCAAGGGUGACCCAGCAACGCCGCGUGGAGGAUGAAUGUCGUAAGAUUGUAAACUCCUGUUAGAGGGGAAGAAUAGUACCGGUUGGACCGGUAUAUGACUGUACCCUCAGAGAAAGCCCCGGCUAACUACGUGCCAGCAGCCGCGGUAAUACGUAGGGUGCAAGCGUUGUCCGGAUUUACUGGGUGUAAAGGGCGCGCAGGCGGGAUAAAAAGUCAGUGGUGAAAUCCUACAGCUUAACUGUAGAACUGCCUUUGAUACUUUUAUUCUUGAGUUCGGGAGAGAGAGACGGAAUUCCAGGUGUAGUGGUGAAAUACGUAGAUAUCUGGAAGAACACCAGUUGCGAAGGCGGUCUCUUGGUCCGACACUGACGCUGAGGCGCGAAAGCGUGGGGAGCAAACA